UUUGAAAUCUGGCUUCGGCCCGAGUUGUAAUUUGUAGAGGAUGCUUUUGGCGAGGUGCCUUCUGAGUUCCCUGGAACGGGACGCCAUAGAGGGUGAGAGCCCCGUAUAGUCGGACACCUAGCCUCUGUAAAGCUCCUUCGACGAGUCGAGUAGUUUGGGAAUGCUGCUCAAAAUGGGAGGUAUAUCUCUUCUAAAGCUAAAUAUAGGCCAGAGACCGAUAGCGCACAAGUAGAGUGAUCGAAAGAUGAAAAGCACUUUGAAAAGAGGGUUAAAUAGCACGUGAAAUUGUUGAAAGGGAAGCGCUUGUGACCAGACUUGUGCCGGGCUGAUCAUCCAGUGUUCUCACUGGUGCACUCGACCCGGCUCAGGCCAGCGUCGGUUGUCGCGGGGGGAUAAAAGCUUCGGGAACGUGGCUCCUCCGGGAGUGUUAUAGCCCGUUGCUUAAUACCCUCGCGGCGACCGAGGUUCGCGCUCUGCAAGGACGCUGGCAUAAUGGUCAUCAGCGACCCGU
rnacentral:rRNA from 1 species